UACGGAGGGUGCAAGCGUUAUCCGGAUUCACUGGGUUUAAAGGGUGUGUAGGCGGGUCUUUAAGUUCGUUGUGAAAUCUCCAGGCUCAACCUGGAAAUUGCCAUUGAUACUAUUUAUCUUGAAUUCUGUUGAGGUGGGCGGAAUACAUCAUGUAGCGGUGAAAUGCUUAGAUAUGAUGUAGAACACCGAUUGCGAAGGCAGCUCACUGAACAGACAUUGACGCUGAGGCACGAAAGCGUGGGGAGCAAACAGG
rnacentral:rRNA from 1 species